rnacentral:tRNA from 1 species
GCCUGCCUAGCUCAAUCGGAUAGAGCGUCAGACUUUUAAUCUGAAGGCUGCGGGUUCGACCCCCGUGGUGGGCU